GUCUCCUUCAUUCACGGCCCCUCCCUGUGCUGUGGCCUGGACACUCUCAAGGCAACUGCUGGACAACUGGGAUCUUCCAGACCCAGGGAUCAAACCUGUGUCUCCUGAUUGGCAGGCGAGUUCUUUACCACUGAGCCACCAGAGAAGCCUGAGCAAACCCUGAUGCUGGAAAAGACUGAGGGCAGGAAGAGAAGGGGACGACAGAGAAUGAAAUGGUUGGAUGGCAUCAUCAGCUCAAUGGACAUGAGGUUGAGCAAACUCCGGGAGACAGCAAAGGACAGGGAAGCCUGGUGUGCUGCAAUUCAUGGGGUUGCAUAGAGUUGGACAUGUCUGAGUGACUGAAUAACAAUGUGUUCUACUCUGAAGGCAGAAUUAUUGUUUCAAAAUGCAAAUGUGAGGCCUUCCCUGGUGCUUCAGUGACCAAGAUUCUGUGCUCCCAAAGCAGGGGGCCUGAGUUUGAUCUCUGAUUGGGGGAACUAGAUCCCACAUACUGCAGCUAAGAGUUCACAUGCCACAACUAAAGAUCCCAUUCACCUCAGAAAUGGAAGUUCCUGUGUGUUGCAAAUAAGAC